UGAACGCUGGCGGCGUGCUUAACACAUGCAAGUCGAACGAACCUUCGGGUUAGUGGCGGACGGGUGAGUAACGCGUGAGAAUCUGCCCUCAGGAGGGGGAUAACAGCUGGAAACGGCUGCUAAUACCCCAUAUGCCGCGAGGUGAAAUGAAUUUCGCCUGAGGAUGAGCUCGCGUCUGAUUAGCUAGUUGGUGUAGGUAAUGGCUCACCAAGGCAUCGAUCAGUAGCUGGUCUGAGAGGAUGAUCAGCCACACUGGGACUGAGACACGGCCCAGACUCCUACGGGAGGCAGCAGUGGGGAAUUUUCCGCAAUGGGCGAAAGCCUGACGGAGCAACGCCGCGUGAGGGAUGAAGGCCUCUGGGCUGUAAACCUCUUUUAUCAAGGAAGAAGAUCUGACGGUACUUGAUGAAUAAG
rnacentral:rRNA from 1 species